GGGUCCGGACACACUGAGGAUUGACAGAUAUAUGCCCAUGCGUGCUUCGGCGCGCUGGGCUGAAAGAUGCUAGUUCUUUCAUGAUUAUGUGAUAGGUGGUGCAUGGCCGUUCUUAGUUCGUGGAGUGAUCUGUCUGCUUAAUUGCGUAUCAAUAAUAGAGACCUAGUAUACGCGUGGAUUUCGUGUGGUAGUGACCCCCUGUUUAACGACAGGCGUGUGUCGCACACGCGUACCUACGCACUGGUCUCAGAUAGCAACGAACGUGACCGUAUUCUAUUGUUGCAGUGAAAUGUGCCUUCGGGUACGACCCACUGCUUAGUAUAUGUACGCCUCGGCGCACAAUAUACAUUAAACUAUAGAGACCGCUGUUUCUUCUUUAAACCAGAGGAAGGAUACGGCAAUAACAGGUCUGUGAUGCCCUCAGAUGUUCCGGGCUGCACACGUGCUACAGUGAUCAUUGCACUGUGCAUCUAACCCAAUGUGCGCGGACGCCGCAUGCAUGUGCUCUUCACGGAGUACACGCAUUGCUGUUGCGACCGCGCCGAACCUACUUCGAAAGUAAAAUUUCUCAGUGGGU
rnacentral:rRNA from 1 species